rnacentral:lncRNA from 1 species
AUGGUAGCAAAACACCUCUACAAACAAACAAAAAGUUCACCAAAAAUAGAAGAGGACAUCAACAAAAUGAUCAGGUGCUUCUCCAAUUUAAUUGUUUGGAAGCAGUCACUGGAAGCAACACUAUGUGACUCAGCUUUGGUGAUACAGUCCAGCUGGGGUCUGACAGGUCAUUUUUCAGGCUCCUGGUAAUGAACAAAACAGGUCUGAUAAUUUUCAAGAAUACUCUCAGGAAAUAUGUGGUGCAGGACUGCAGCUUUCAAGCAGUUGACACAGAAAUCUGGUUCAAUCAGUGUUGAGAGCCAUGCCUGAAGAAGCCUUCUGUGUUUUGGGACCAGCCAGGGUAGCUGUAACAGCCACAACAAGGCCAUAUUUUGACUGGUUUUCAUCAAUUUGACUCCGUGGUUUUGUUUCUUUUUUUUUUUUUUUUCCUUUCUCUGCCUCUUGUAAAAGCAUUUGGCUUCGAA